GUGUUGAUCUGUCCCCUGGUAGUAAAGGAAUAAAGGUGUUGAUCUGUCCCCUGGUAGUAAAGGAAUAAAGGUGUUGAUCUGUCCCCUGGUAGUAAAGGUGUUGAUCUGUCC